GACGAACGCUGGCGGCGUGCUUAAUACAUGCAAGUCGAACGCAAAGGCCCUGCUUUUGUUCGGUGCUCGAGUGGCGAACGGGUGAGUAACACGUGAGUAACCUGCCCUUGACUUUGGGAUAACUUUUGGAAACUGGGGCUAAUACCGCAUAGUAGUCCCUGUUGCAUGGCGGUUGCUGGAAAGUUUCGGCGGUUGGGGAUGGACUCGCGGCUUAUCAGCUUGUUGGUGGGGUAGUGGCUUACCAAGGCUUUGACGGGUAGCCGGCCUGAGAGGGUGACCGGCCACAUUGGGACUGAGAUACGGCCCAGACUCCUACGGGAGGCAGCAGUGGGGAAUAUUGCACAAUGGGCGGAAGCCUGAUGCAGCAACGCCGCGUGCGGGAUGACGGCCUUCGGGUUGUAAACCGCUUUCGCCUGUGACGAAGCGUGAGUGACGGUAAUGGGUAAAGAAGCACCGGCUAACUACGUG
rnacentral:rRNA from 1 species